rnacentral:rRNA from 1 species
AAGCGGAGGACAGUGGCGGACGGGUGAGUAAUGUAUGAGCAACCUGCCUUCAAGAGGGGAAUAACAGUCGGAAACGACUGCUAAUACCGCAUAAUAAAGCGUAGUCGCAUGACAAUGCUUUCAAAGGAGCAAUCCGCUUGAAGAUGGGCUCAUAUCUGAUUAGCUAGUUGGUGAGGUAACAGCCCACCAAGGCGACGAUCAGUAGCCGGACUGAGAGGUUGACCGGCCACAUUGGGACUGAGAUACGGCCCAGACUCC